rnacentral:rRNA from 1 species
GGAUGAACGCUGGCGGCGUGCCUAAUACAUGCAAGUCGAGCGAACAGACGAGGAGCUUGCUCCUCUGACGUUAGCGGCGGACGGGUGAGUAACACGUGGAUAACCUACCUAUAAGACUGGGAUAACUUCGGGAAACCGGAGCUAAUACCGGAUAAUAUAUUGAACCGCAUGGUUCAAUAGUGAAAGACGGUUUUGCUGUCACUUAUAGAUGGAUCCGCGCCGCAUUAGCUAGUUGGUAAGGUAACGGCUUACCAAGGCAACGAUGCGUAGCCGACCUGAGAGGGGGAUCGGCCACACUGGAACUGAGACACGGUCCAGACUCCUACGGGAGGCAGCAGUAGGGAAUCUUCCGCAAUGGGCGAAAGCCUGACGGAGCAACGCCGCGUGAGUGAUGAAGGUCUUCGGAUCGUAAAACUCUGUUAUUAGGGAAGAACAAAUGUGUAAGUAACUAUGCACGUCUUGACGGUACCUAAUCAGAAAGCCACGGCUAACUACGUG